CCAUCAACAAAGAGGCCAGGGCACUGAGAUUUCCAGUGAUUUAGCAUCCUGGCUGGGAGGGGUCAUGUGUUCUACAGUGAGUUCUGAGUAUACUGCACUGCCCUCGAGGACCUGCAGGGGGCGCGCGAAGCCAGCGUGUCUUAGGUGGCGGUGCGCAUGGGCAGUUCGCAUCAGCAGCCAGCGUCUUCCCUGGGGGCGGAGCUUGUUUUCCUCAGGACUGAGCGGGCGGCGCCAUGGAGGCUCCAGGACAGCGCUGCCUGCGUGUCCGCGGGAGGAGGACGCUCCCCGCCCGCUGUCUGAAGUUACGCCGGUUUCCCACGGCCUGAGCCCGCUUCCUGCCGGGGUGUGUGUGGACCUGACCGAGCUGGGGCCCCGGCCGGCUGGGCAGGAGGGGACGGGUGCGCUGGCGGGCCCGCUUCGACUAUUCUCCUUGCCCGCCGGGAGCGGCCAGAGGUCCUCUGCAACAAGCUGAUAACCCACAGGAUAUCUCCUUAAAAUCUAUGUGGCUGUCAUGAUUUUCACCAAAAGCGUUAAAUAAACCUGUAAAAUAGGAACACAGAAUAAAUCACAGCCAACAAACUUCCUGUUAAUAAUGACAUGCUUAUGAAAGGAGGCAUGACUCGCAUAAACUGACUUAGUUUUUAAAAGUUAUCAGUAGUUUCCACUGUCUUAGGAAGUUUUUUUUUCCCCCCCUGGCAUAAUUAUAACCAAAAUUUAACUUCCUAGAAGAAAAUACUAUCAUUCAGUGUUUGGUUUUGUCUGCCUACCUGUCUCUAUCUUAUAUUAAUUCCAAAAGUCUAAAGUGAUUGUAGAAUGUAAAAAAUAAAAGUAUAUUUUAAAAAUGUAACUGGAAAAAAGUCAGAGACCACAAUUAUCCUAAUUUGGAAAGACUAAGAAGAAAAAGGAAAAAAGAAGAAGAAAAGUUGAACUCUAUCAAAGAUAUACUGUGUUGUUAUUAACAAGCUUCAUACAGCUCCUUCAUGAAGCAAAGAAAACUAACACACUAUAUUAUAAGAGAAAGAAAUUCUGUAGUGCAGUCUUCAUUGUACCACUUAAUCUGUAUACAUAAAUAUAUUAAAUUUCAGAAAUAAAGGGCAAUUUAUAAUCUAA